CCUCCGAUGACCAUUUGACAAACUCAUCCGUAGGCUCUGUCGCGUUCGUGCUUCUCCCUCAACGAAGGUCGCAACUCCUCCUCUCAAAGAUUUGUGACCUCCGACGACCAUUCAAGCCACUCCUCUGCAUCUACUCUGAUUCGUCCCUGCUUCUCCCUCAACAAAUGUCGCGAUUUACUUAGUCUUGAAGAGGACAUGGCAUUGGAAAACCAAUCCCAGUCAAAGAGAGGACAAAACUGUUCAUGGCCAAAUGACGUAUCACAAUUUCUGCUCCAAUGUUUAUUGGAUUACUAUCAAAAGGGAAAGACUAGUGACAAUGGCCUUAGGAAAGACCAAUGGCAAUCUAUUAUCAAAUGCAUACAAAAUAGAUUUGAUAUGACCUAUGAUUUGGAACAAGUCCGCAAUCAUUAUCGAAUAUGGAAGCAAAGGUUAAGAGUGUUGAGUGACCUCCAGAAGAAUAGUGGCAUGAGUUGGAAUUCAAUAGAGAUGCGUUUUGAUGCCCCUCAGCAUGUUUGGAAUGAGUUUAAGAAGAAAGAGCAAAGGUAUUGAAAAGAACAUGCAGUUCUACUAAUACACAUUCAAGUGGGUAUAUGAUUGACCAAUGAGAUAGUUAGGGGCAAUGACUCAUCACAACCAUCAGAUGUUGUAAAUGAUUGGCACAAUGAUUACAGAGUCAAUCUUGAUGGACUGGAGAACUUUUCUUUUGCUAAUGAUAGAGAGUUUCAGACUGAAGAAAGUGUACCUUUAGUGGGUAUAGAACGUUCUACUCCUGUUCGAGGUUGGCCUAGAUCAUCUUGUCCUAGUGGCAGUGGCAAUGGCAGAGAGAAGGGAAAGAAGGAAGGGGUUGAUAAGAUAUUAAGCCCUUUGAAGAUAAUAGCUUCUCACCUUGGGUGGUUAGUCACCACUGAGUCUAGUGAUGACCUCACGGAUAGACU